CGCGCUGCUGCGCGCGGCGGCCGGGCGGCGCGCCGACGUGCCGGGGCUGUUCCUGGCCACGCUGUUCCUGGCGAACGCGGGCAACGUGGAGGUGCAGCAGGGCGCGCCGCUGGCGCUGAACGCGUUCUCGGUGCGGCUGCUGUCGGCGGACGCGGGGCUGUACGCGGCGGCGGCGCGCGACGACCCGCACUUCCUGCGGUGAGCCGCGGCGGCGCCGGGAGCGACGCGCGGGACGGAGCCGCGUCGACGGUCGAUGUGACGUCGUGUCGUGAAAUAUGAGCGAGCUGAAUGUGUCGGAAUCGCCGAUCAAUCGAUGGAACGGAUGUCGUUUCGUUACCGAGAAUAAUAUUUGCAACGUCGAUCGUCGAGUAGAAAAAUCACUCGUUCGUUUUCCGCUGCAGGAGCACCGCCCUCCGCUCCCCAGGCUGGCGAAAGGAGUUGGGAGGGAGAACGACAUAUUUAAAUGUUACACUCGAAAGGAGGCUCACGGCUGUGAAGUUAAUACAUACGACACGUAACGCCAGCAAAUAUUUGGUCGACAGAGACACACAAAAGUGUAAGCAGUGACCUGGUGAAUAAUGACCCAACAUAUCGACUCUAAUGGUGCCUAAAGACACUGCAUUUUUAAGCACUUUGAUGAUCUUGUGCUCUGUGAAAUAGUCAUACAAAAUCUUACUUUAAAAAUGCAGUUACUGCAUUUGCACUACCAUUAUAUUUGAUAAUAAAAAACUAUUUCUUUGAACCCAAAAUAAUCUCUGUUAGUAGAAGAUCCGAAUUAGAAGCUGCCUGCGCCCAUCUAAAUAUACAAUAACGCAAAGGUGACUGACAUAGUGAUCUAUUAACGCACAGCCCAAACCACUGGACGGAUCGGGCUGAAAUAUAGCAUGCAGGUAGAUGUUAUGACGUAGGCAUCCGCUAAGAAAGGAUUUUACGAAACUCCAUCCCUAAGGGGGUAAAACGGGAUUCACGCGUACGAAGUCGCGGACGGCCGCUAGUCUGUUUAUACCAUGAAAAGUAUUUUAAAUUAAUCUUACGUCCGUAUUCACAAACAUUACUAUAGGCACAAGGUCACACACGAACCAACCACAGAGCUGUAUUCAACGCUGUGCGUUCGAUUUGCUUUUUCACUUAAGUAGCAUCUUUUGUGAAUACGGGUGUGAGUAUGGGCCGACGCUGUGUAGGUUUGUUGUCGACACGACAAGAAGAAGUAUGUUAAAAAAUAUAUCCGAAGUUGGUUGACUAAAAAAAUCGUGGCGAGACUAUUAGUACUUAGAGAUUGAAAAUUACAUUUCGUACCGAUAUAAAAUCAAAACAUUUAUAGGUACAUCAUUUUUCAUGAUGCAGUUGUUUAUGCCUACUGUAAAAUUUUAUCUAAUGAAGCUAUUUGGCGUUUAUAUCUGCCUACCCAGUAGGCAGUAGUAGGGUCAGAAAAAAGAUAGCCUAACCAAAUUUAAUUAAUAAUGGGAUUAUGGCCAGGAUAUUUUUAAGCAACCACCCACUCGCGACAUAUUUUUAACAUGCUAAAAUUGAUUUAAAAUUAUUUAAUUUGAAUAAAGAUGGUUGCAGAUCACUUCUAGUUCAGAUCUUAAACCUUAAUAAUAUAAUAACUUACAAAACGAUUUGUAUAUAAUGAUAAAAGUAUAUUUGUAAAUAUAGAAUAAUUUUAAGAGUAUAUUUUCUUAUAAGAUUAUUAGAUUAAUAUAAUUGUUGAUGAUUUGUACAUAUAAAAUAAGUGGACAAAUUAUGGAAAAGGGUAUCAUUAUAUAACUGGCUAUACAGGCGUAGUAGCAUUGUGCGGAAUAUUCCGAAAUCAGAAAAUACAGUCCAGUAUUAGUGGAAUUAUUUUAGGAAGUUUUAUUUAGCUCUCCUUACAUUGUGCCCUUUGGGUCCUAUUUCAGAGGCCACAGAUUAGUGUUUAGUGAAGCUCUGAAUACUGUUUGGCCUAUGGUCAGUUCAGUGCACUCUAAUUGCUGCUUUUCUUUCUACAUUAUUUACUUUGUUUCAGGAAUUCCAUUCUUCUAAAAGCAACCCUUGUUAAGAACCAAUAGCAUAGACAAGAAAUAUAUCUGUCAUAAAUAGUUUUGGAUGAUUGAUAUUGAUCGUAUGACAUUUUUAGUCACAAAAUGUAUUUUGGUGAUGAGAAAAAAUAUGGUAGCUAAUUAGUUAAGUAGUCACUGUUUACAUUGUUAAAAUGUAUUAAUUAUUUUUUAUUUAUGCAUACAAAGAAAAAUAACUAUACUAUACAGCAUGCAGUGUCUCAAAAUUAGCACGUCACACUGACACCAUGGGUAGAUGAGCCUAAACACAUCAAACAAGUCUAUUUAGCCCAUUUUUUAAGUAACUAUUUUUUCAUUUAAUAUUAUUAUUAAACAAUGUUUCAAUAACAUUGAUUUGGGCAUACAUAUCAAGUCAUAUUUCAAAACUCAACAAACUUCUAUGGAUAUUAAUAACUAUAUUGGUCAUAUCUCAAAACUUAUGAAACUUUCCUAUGGACAUAUUAGCCUUGUUCCAGGCGUCUUAGGUCCAGCUACCUCCAGUGUCUAGUGUGACGUGCUAAUUUUGACCUCCUGUAUAUUUAAUGCCGUCCUCAUCAACUUAGUCGGUAUUUAGCCAUUGUACAUAAUGUAAAAAGCUAUUAAGUACACUUAUCUUACGGAGGCUAUUUGAAAAAACUGUUUGUAAUUAUGAGUUUAAGUGUGUUAGUUCAUUUUUAACCGAUAAGUGUAACAAUGGUUGUGUACCUCAGUAGGUAUUUACUAAAUAAUACUAACUUGACCCAAGGCAUCCCACUUUAUAAAAUUCCAAUUUAUACAGGAUGUUUGGCGGAAAGUUAGACAAACUUCGGGGGUGUAUAGGUAAGGCCAUUUUAGGAAUACAAGUUCGCCCAUUUGACCCUAAGUGAGCUACUUUUUUUUAAUUGAUAUUUUUAUUUUUUCUGGCCUAAAAACUACUUCAAUUAUUUUUUCUAGCGUAUAAUAAAUAAAUUUCAGAGCCUGAUAAGGAUUGGAUAGCUAGUUAUGAGCCGCCAAAGUUUAACAAAAGUACAAACCACGAUAAAAAAAUAAACUUAAAAUUCCAUAAAAAAAAUUAAAUGUGAUAAUGGAUUGGUAAUCGUCUUAAAAACAUCUCUAGCUUCUCUUCUUUCCAAUGAUAUAUCACAUGUAGUAAUUAGAUAGUGAAAUUCAUCAAAAAUCCCAAGUUUAUGGAAGAAAAUGAAAUAAUAAUACAAAAAUUAUCCAUAUUUUUUUUCCACAACGAGGAAGCUCUUGGCCUGUAUCUAUUAUUAUUAUUAUCUAUGUAUCGACUAAAAAAAGUAGCUCACUUAGGGUCAAAUGGGCGAACUUGUAUUCUUUAAAUGACCCUACCUAUACACCCACGAAGUUUGUCUAACCUUCCGCCAAACACCAUGCCUUAGGAAACAUUAUCCUUAAAAACAGGCAGUACAUGUUUAAGCGAGGUUUACAUGUCUCUUUGUAUGAUGGAAACACUUGUAUACUUACUUAUAAAUAUAAAUGAUAUCGUUUCUCAGUAGAACUCCCAUUCGAUUAGUACGUUACUAAUUAACUUAAAUCGUACUUAGAGCGGGUCUCGCAUUACUUCUAAUCCGAAUCCGUCAAAAUACGGAUCUAGAGAAAUAACUAGCUAACUCUAGAAAUCAAAAGACGGAAAUGUAAUCUAGUGUGUUCAGUGUACACUACCGUACAGAAAUUGUUCUGUGACUACUCUGGCUGGACCUUAUUUUCAUGGAUACGGAUCGGAUGUAAUGCGAAAUAGCUCUUAUAGUGAAUAUCUUAGAUUUCUGUACAAGGGGUCAUUUUGCGAGAUCUUGUGCCUUAGUGCAGCGAGGAGUGCGCUGAACACGUAGUAUAUUACUAACUAAAGUCGGCUGUACUGCCGCCUAGCCUGUACGAGUAUUGUGUUGUUUUAAGAUCAUACGUGUACAUUUGGCCAUAAUCAACCACAUAAAAGUAAUAUUGCGAGAUUGGUUGUCUUGGUAGUACAUAUUGAUUUAAUUAUUAUGUGUGUAAAUCAAAUUAAAUUAAUUGUUAUUCAUUUAAAAACUAAAGACUACCGACAAAUUAUAUGAAAUGGUUUUAUGAUUGUGAUCUUUUUAAAAUAAACUAAAAAUUCAUACUA